UUGAUAAUGUUACCAGUCGUGCAGAAAAACGAAUUUUUAACAACUUGCAAAGUACCCCGGCAGUUUUGGAGUUUUUAAAUAAAUAUUUUGUUGAUUCUUAGAUGUUUUUUCCGUAAAUUUGGUAAAAAUGGGAAAGAAUAUAAAAACCACGGAAGACAGCAACGAAAAAGAUUUUGAAAAACGAAAACGUAAGAAAAGAAAGAAGAAACUUAAUGAUGAACCGGGUGAUAAGACGAGAAAAUUGCGACCCAAUUAUUUUAUUGGAGUCCGAAUUAAUAACCCACAAAUAUUAGGUAAAAUCCGUGCGAUACAGAAUAUUGUUGUUGGACGAGAAACACAACUUUCGAAAACAAUUGUUCCUUUUUCUACUUCGCACGUAACACUCAGUGUAUUUCAUUUAAAGGAGAAAGAUGAUUUAAAAAGAGCUUGCACAGUGUUUCACAACAGUGUUGAUCAAAUAAGAAACAUAUUAAAUAACGAACCACCUCAGUUUACAGUGGCUGGUGUUGGAAACUUUAGACACCAAGUUAUGUUCGCACAAAUUAGAGAUAACAAUGGAUUGGAGUUGCUAACUAAAACAGCUGAAUAUUUGGACAACCAAAUGUCUGAGUUUCGAAAUUCUGAAGAUAAAGCAUUCAAGCCUCAUCUAACAAUAAUGAAGUUGUCAAAAAUGUUUGGUGCAAAAAGAUUUAAGAUCAAAAAGAUCUCUCCUUCACUUUAUGAAGAUUUUGUUGAAACCAACUUUGGAGAUGAAAUUAUAAACAGGAUUGAAUUAUUAUCAAUGUUGAAACCUAAGCAAAGAGAUGGGUAUUAUCAUAGUGAAGCAGAGAUAUGUAUUGGUAGAUGAAUCUAUUGGAAAACAAUCACCAUUGUUAGUUCAUCAAUGGGCAUCGUGUUUAUCUGUGUCUUGCAUCACAAUGGCCAUUCACCACAUCAACAAUCCAAAACUGAAACAUUACGGUGAUGUCAUAGCUAAUGACGUCAUAACAUCUGCGUUUCAAGAUUUGUAUCCUACUACAUGAAGAAAUGGCUUGUUUCGUAUAGAUUGCGUCAGUGGUGAUUAGAUCGAUAGAGAAGUUGCAUUUGUUCAUGAGGUUCAUCAGAACAAGGAUUUUGUUCACGGUAGUUUCAGUGGUGGCGGCUCGAAAGUAUUUUCUCAAGCAUUUUAAAAAAUGUAGUAUUUUCUCAAACAAUUUUAAAUCUUACUUUAUCCUCGCGUGGCCAAAAAAACAGUUGUUAAACACUGGUGUUCUGUAUCAUACACCUCGUGCCAGUUUCAAGUUACACUGUCAUUUUAGUUCUAAUUUUUUAAUACCGGAGCUUUUGGGAAUUGUAGACAUAAAAAAGCUAUUAAAUUCACCAUAGGCGCCAAACCUGGGGUGGCUUAUUAUUAUUUGUUGCACUGCAUAAAUCAGUGAGAAUUACAACCAACUAUUAGAUUUGUUUCACAUGGUUGUGGUCCUAACUGUCUUUGCCCCCCCUAUUUUCUCGUCCAAUUUAGUAGUAUAAACAAAGAAAGUUCAAAGAAAUGUGAAACUAUGUCCUCAUGACUCUCAUAGACCGUUGUUAAUUGUUUAAAACACGAUCAGAAUAUCUGGAUAUUAUGCGCUAAAGGUGUUCCAUCUUCCCCCACCCUUCUAUAUUAUAUUUAAAACGAAAACAAACGUAUAAUAGGUUGGGGUAAGAUUGAACAUGCUUUCCUUCCGAAUUCCAAAAUCGUAGCGCCGCGAUUCCAAAACAGCGUAUUGUUUAAAACUGGAUUAGGCAACAUGGGAUACAAACGUUAACGGUAUCUCAGCAGAACUAUACAAAAGGGUAUGUUAUAUUUACCAAUUCCUAUCUAUAAGUUUUAACAAAGUAUUCAAUUUUACAUUGUCGUUUCUUUCGUCAAACAAAAAACGUCAGAAUAUAAGUCGUAAAAUGUCCCGA